rfam:Pelodiscus sinensis unplaced genomic scaffold scaffold1376, whole genome shotgun sequence.
UGCAGCCUUGUCAAGUUCAGUACCCGCCUCUGCCCUGCUGGGGGCUGGCCCCGUCGGCUGCCACAGCUUCACCUGUCGUUCAUGGGCCCCCCGGCUCUGGCGCUGGGGAUAGAAAUACGCGCCAGCUGCCC